GAUGAACGCUGGCGGCGUGCCUAAUACAUGCAAGUCGAGCGAACAGACGAGGAGCUUGCUCCUCUGACGUUAGCGGCGGACGGGUGAGUAACACGUGGAUAACCUACCUAUAAGACUGGGAUAACUGCGGGAAACCGGAGCUAAUACCGGAUAAUAUAUUUAACCGCAUGGUUCAAUAGUUAAAUACGGUUUUGCUGUCACUUAUAGAUGUAUCCGCGCCGCAUUAGCUAGUUGGUAAGGUAACGGCUUACCAAGGCAACGAUGCGUAGCCGACCUGAGAGGGGGAUCGGCGACACUGGAACUGAGACGCGGUCCAGACUCCUACGGGAGGCCGCAGUAGGGAAUCUUCCGCAAUGGGCGGAAGCCUGACGGAGCAGCGCCGCGUGAGUGAUGAAGGUCUUCGGAUCGUAAAACUCUGUUAUUAGGGAAGAACAAUUGUGUAAGUAACUAUGCACGUCGUGACGGUACCUAAUCAGAAAGCCACGGCUAACUACGUG
rnacentral:rRNA from 1 species